CUGCCUCUGGUGCUUGUGGGCUGGUUGGCGUUGGCCCUGGUCAGAGGAGAACAGAAAAAUCCUCAGGGAAAGUACAGGAUGUCACAGAAAACUGAGCUGGUGAAUCAGGGGUGGGCUGGCCUCCAUUGUGUCAAAAGUGCAAGAGCUCGAGAAGGCUGUGGGCAGGAAAUGGCACUGCUGAGUCAGUGCAGAGGCCCUUGCCCCAUGAGUCAGGACCCGCGGACAGACACACCUUGGGACACAGACGUCGAUGAAACCCCAGAGAAGGUUACGGCGGGGUUAACAGAGAAGAGAACUUGCGAGCUUGUUGAGUAUUAUUGUGCAGGAAACUGUCCCAAACCUCAGCGCAUUUUAGGGAAAAAAGAUAUCUUGAAACGCAGUCUCAGGUGGGUUCCCUGGAAGCAGAGCCUGGGACGAGAUUGUACGUGAAAGGGAUUAAUGAGGAAAGUUCUCAGGGAAGACGGGGGAGGAGGGAGGAGCGAGGAUGUGGGAGGAAGAAAGGGAGGAAGCCAGGCGAGGGUGAGGCUCCGGGCAGAGCCUCAGCCAGCAGCGUCAGCUGUGGGGUAGCCAGCGUGGACUCAACCGGUCAGGGGAUGGGGGCACCCGGGGGCUGAGCUGGGGCCAGCUUGCCCCGGAUCAGAAGAGCAUCAUGUGCUUCCCAAUCCACGCCGAGCGACCACCAUUGACUUAGCUUGAAAUCAGCCACGUGGGGAUAUUUACACCACGGAAAUUGGCAAAUGCUACAAUUCAGAACUUUUUUUUGUCUUUUGAGAGCCAACUGUUAAACAUUUGCCAGCCUGGGAGGAACCUGGACAGUGUCUCGUACAGAGGUGCCCAGCAGACAUCUCCUGAGCAUUCCCAUGUGCCAGGCACUGUUCUAACACCCUUACACACCUCGGCUCAUUUACUGGUGACAGCAAUCCCACGGACAGAAUGCUAUUUAUCACCCUCAGUUACACACGAGGAGGCCGUGGCACUGGGACGUCAGGCGGCUUGCAAAGGGUAAGCCAGAUCGUUCGUAAGUGGCAGAGCUGCAGCCAGAGCAGCCCGGCCUCAGCCUGUGCUCUUAAACAGGCAACAUUCAACGCUGUAAAAUAUAUUGGCCUGCAUGGCAUAGGAAAUGCUUCCCUCAACAAUCAGAAAGUACACACAGGAUGGAGGGAUGUCCGCGAGGACGUGUGCACGUUUGCUGGCAUGGGCACCUCUUUGCAAUGGCCGUCUUUGGCAUGGGGAUUGUCACAUUUUACCGACACAGUGGUUUGCACUGCUCACAGCAAGCAUGUGCCGCUCUGAAGGAAGCCCCGUCACUAAGGUGGUGACGGGCUCCCGGUGGCCGGGGACGUGAGGGCUGUGUCCAGAUUGGCAAUGAACUCCGGGGAUCUCCAUGUGCCGAGAACAGCUUCCCAGAGCUCAGAUUUUGGGCGCUUGGAUUCAACAGGAGGUCAUCCGGGAAGCGGCAGCAUCCAGAGACGACUCCUUCCAGGUGGCAGAAGACAGCUCUCAGGAGACCCCAGCAGCCCUGUUCCUCCAACAAAGAGCCUUGACGUGACCCCCGAAACAGGGUCACGAGGCCAUGGUGAUGAGCUCUAGGUAAACGUGUUGGAAUCCAACUUGUGUUCACUCCUUCUCCAGUCCACGCUUGCUGUCUCCCGUUUUGUGCCAGAUCGUCUCUCGUGGGGCUGAGGACGAGCUGGAGUCGGGGCCAAGCCAUCCAGCAGAUAAGAGAAUGGGAAAUCAGGCUGAACUUCCCUUCCCACUCUCGGCGGCCCGGGCAGGCUGCGGGUUUCAUGAGAACAGCCUCUCUCUUGAGGUUUGUGCUAAUUCCUUUUUCCAACUGGGCUGGGAAGACCAUCAAACAGCUGUGCUGGUGUGGUCCAGGGUGUCUGCAUCCAUCUCGACGGCCACCGGAAAGCGUGGAAGUCCAGGACGUGGGGAGGACAUUUUGGGGACCUGCAGCUGCGUGGAAUUAGAGCUCCGUAUUUAAGGAGAAGGGUCACGUUGCUUGGUUUUCUGGCUUAUUCUUGGGACGAGUUCUCUGAUUUCAUGUCCCUGGUCACACAGGAUAAGAGUCACCUUCUCACAUAAUGUCGAGGAAAGAGCAUCCUUUAGUGCAGACAAAAGCCCUGCAUUCUCAUCCUGAUUUCUUCUCUUCCAAGCUGUGUGACCUGGGACAGAUCACUUUCCUUCUCUGAACCUCAAAGAAUAAAAUGGAAACACUGACAUCCA
rnacentral:lncRNA from 1 species